rnacentral:rRNA from 1 species
UACAGAGGGUGCGAGCGUUGUCCGGAAUCACUGGGCGUAAAGGGCGCGUAGGUGGUGGCUUAAGCGUGCGGUGAAAGCUCGAGGCUCAACCCCGAGUCGGCCGUGCGAACUGGGCUCACUGGAGCAUAGUAGAGGCAGGUGGAAUUCCGGGUGUAGCGGUGGAAUGCGUAGAGAUGUGGAGGAACACCAGUGGCGAAGGCGACUCUUUGGCCUGUAACUGACGCUGAGGCGCGAAAGCGUGGGGAGCAAACAGG